rnacentral:rRNA from 1 species
UGGGGAAUUUUGGACAAUGGGGGCAACCCUGAUCCAGCCAUUCCGCGUGAGUGAAGAAGGCCUUCGGGUUGUAAAGCUCUUUCGGUGGGGACGAAAAGGCGGGCUCUAACAGAGCCUGUUCAUGACGGUACCCGAAGAAGAAGCACCGGCUAACUACGUGCCAGCAGCCGCGGUAAUACGUAGGGUGCGAGCGUUAAUCGGAAUUACUGGGCGUAAAGGGUGCGCAGGUGGUUAUUUAAGACAGAUGUGAAAUCCCCGGGCUCAACCUGGGAACUGCGUUUGUGACUGGAUAGCUAGAGUGCGGCAGAGGGGGGUGGAAUUCCACGUGUAGCAGUGAAAUGCGUAGAGAUGUGGAGGAACACCGAUGGCGAAGGCAGCCCCCUGGGCCAGCACUGACGCUCAUGCACGAAAGCGUGGGGAGCAAACAGG